AACGAACGCUGGCGGCAUGCCUAACACAUGCAAGUCGAACGAGACCUUCGGGUCUUUUGGCGCACGGGUGCGUAACCCGUGGGAACCUGCCCUUAUGUUCGGCAUAACUCUCCGAAUGGGGUGCUAAUACCGGAUAAUGUCUUCUGACCAAUGAUUUAUCGCCUUUGGAUGGGCCCGCGUUGGAUUAGCUUGUUCGUAGGGUAAAAGCAUACCACGGCGACGAUCCAUAGCUGGUAUGAGAGAAUGAUCAGCCACACUGGGACUGAGACCCGGCCCAGACUCCUACGGGAGGGAGGAGUGGGGAAUAUUGGACAAUGGGCGAAAGCAUGAUCCAGCAAUGACGCGUGAGUGAUGAAGGCAGUAGGGUUGUAAAGCUCUUUUACCCGGGAUGAUAAUGACAGUACCGGGAGAAUAAGCCACGGCUAACUCCGUG
rnacentral:rRNA from 1 species